rnacentral:rRNA from 1 species
GACGAACGCUGGCGGCGUGCUUAACACAUGCAAGUCGAACGGUAAGGCCCUUCGGGGUACACGAGUGGCGAACGGGUGAGUAACACGUGGGUGAUCUGCCCUGCACUUCGGGAUAAGCCUGGGAAACUGGGUCUAAUACCGGAUAGGACCACUGCCUGCAUGGGUGGUGGUGGAAAGCUUUUGCGGUGUGGGAUGGGCCCGCGGCCUAUCAGCUUGUUGGUGGGGUGAUGGCCUACCAAGGCGACGACGGGUAGCCGGCCUGAGAGGGUGACCGGCCACACUGGGACUGAGAUACUGCCCAGACGCCUACGGGGGGCAGCAGUGGGGAAUAUUGCACAAUGGGCGCAAGCCUGAUGCAGCGACGCCGCGUGAGGGAUGACGGCCUUCGGGUUGUAAACCUCUUUCAGCACCGACGAAGCGCAAGUGACGGUAGGUGCAGAAGAAGGACCGGCCAACUACGUGCCAGCCGCCGCCGUAA